rnacentral:rRNA from 1 species
UACAGGGGGUGCAAACGUUGCUCGGAAUUAUUGGGCGUAAAGCGCGCGUAGGCGGCUACUUAAGUCGGAUGUGAAAGCCCUUGGCUCAACUGAGGAAGUGCACCCGAAACUGAGUGGCUAGAGUACGAAAGAGGGUCGCGGAAUUCCCGGUGUAGAGGUGAAAUUCGUAGAUAUCGGGAGGAACACCGGUGGCGAAGGCGGCGACCUGGGUCGAUACUGACGCUGAUGCGCGAAAGCCAGGGGAGCAAACGGG